CGAAGGAUACACCUUGUAUCAAAAGGACAGGCAGAAUUGGAAUGGAUGCAAUCAUACUUGAUGCCGAGGGGCUGCCUGAGAAGAAAAAAAAAAUCCUCUUCUCUUUUGAAAACAUUUGCUGUGUCUCAAGCUGUCGAUGGAGAGGAGGGCUGUGAAACAUUGUGAAAGUUGGACCGUUACAGAUGAUAUCUAGUUGAAUGUAAUAGCUUGCAGACCACAGACUUUCUAUGUGAGCUCUGAGUGCAACAAAGAAAGACAGUAUCAAACCCUAAGAAACAAAGAGCAUUCUGUGGAAGUUGUUUGAAAUUCUCAAAUCCUUGGAAUUUGAAAGACCUGAUAAUAAAUGCCUUGAUAUGAAAACAGAAAACAUAGGGCUGGUGCUUGAGUCCAGCCACCCUGACCUG